CCCCUUAUGUAGCUCUGCACAAAAUAUUCCUCUUUCAAACUCCUAUCUUCUCCAGCCAUAAAAGCCUUUAACAGCUUUAACUCCUCAAAUUUCAAUGUAUAUGAUCCACCACCAAUCUUCUAAAUUGUUCCCAAGAAAUUUCGCCCAUUCUUUCUACAUACUCCAAAUACGACAAAUCGGCUCCAUCCAUAUACAUCGCCGCUGUGAAUAUCUUUUUCGAGUCACUCAUUGGAUUAACAACAAAAUACUUAUUACACUUCCUAAUCCAUUGCAAUGGUGAUCUUCCGAAAAUUUAGGAAAUUCUAAUCUAGGCAUAUGAGAUUGAAAAUUUCCAGAAUUUUGAGAGUUACCUCGAUCGCAUUUUGCCUGCUCUGGAAUUGAAUUGACAGCACUCUCAUGGUGUUCCUCAUCUGUUUCUUUCCCUUGGAAUUCCUUGCGUAGCAGCUCGAAUUGGCUCGCCAUCAACGCCAUCAUCGAUGCUAGAUCGCUCUUCAUCGAUGUAAUGUCUACCUUCACAGCCCCGAUCUGACCUUCUAGGCUAUCAAUACGGCUGUCCAUUCUUGAACCGUUGCGCGGCAUACGUGGAUGAAUCAAUGGCUCUUAAUACCAAAUGUAAUACUAGAACACUCAUACUUUCCCAUCAAUCGUAGAUCCGAACUCAAGCUUGACGUAAUCACGAAGAAUUCAGUGAAGAACUUUACUAAACGCCUCACAAUUGGGUGCUCGUGUGCAGAUGAAACGAGACGACUGAAAGAAAGGAAUAGAA
rnacentral:lncRNA from 1 species